rnacentral:rRNA from 1 species
GACGAACGCUGGCGGCGUGCUUAACACAUGCAAGUCGAACGGAAAGGCCCUGCUUGCAGGGUACUCGAGUGGCGAACGGGUGAGUAACACGUGGGUGAUCUGCCCUGCACUUCGGGAUAAGCUUGGGAAACUGGGUCUAAUACCGGAUAGGAACCAUCUUUAGUGUGGUGGUUGGAAAGUUUUUUCGGUGUAGGAUGAGCUCGCGGCCUAUCAGCUUGUUGGUGGGGUAAUGGCCUACCAAGGCGGCGACGGGUAGCCGGCCUAAGAGGGUGUACGGCCACAUUGGGACUGAGAUACGGCCCAGACUCCUACGGGAGGCAGCAGUGGGGAAUAUUGCACAAUGGGCGCAAGCCUGAUGCAGCGACGCCGCGUGGGGGAUGAAGGCCUUCGGGUUGUAAACUCCUUUCGCUAGGGACGAAGCUUUUUGUGACGGUACCUAGAUAAGAAGCACCGGCUAACUACGUG